AAACAAAACAAUAACAAAUAAUACAACAUAACCAAUAAAGCAAAUAUUUAACUCGACUUAAAAUUGAAUAUCUGUUAAUAAGCGAUCUGUUAAGUUAUAUCAUUGGAACAAACCAUAAAAAAGCGAAUAAACCCAAAAAGCCUAACUAACUAACUUGCUGUAACCCCGCAGUAAUAAUUCGGAAAGAAAAAAACACCUGUCGGUUCUACUUAAUAUUUCGUGAAGUCUAUAAAACUGAAUAAUCCCGAGGAAUAAUGACAACCUUAAAACCCGAUAAUAAUGAGAAGCAGAUUUUCGAAAUCUACAUACAUAAAUGCGAACAGGACGGUGAACGUGAACUCCUAAUGACUUUUAGAGUAGCUAAAGCAAAAACACGCAUUAUUUAACAACAAUGAAAUCAACUAUAGUAAACGCCUUUAAUAAUAUUCAAAUAACUUUGCUUCGACGAUAAUGUAAUAUACUCAAUUCCAAUAUGCUAUACACAAACGUUCUUUAGUUGAUAACAUACCAAAAAAAAUAAUAAUGAAACGACAAAAAUAACAAAGAAAAGCGAAUCUAUCGCACGAUGAGGUGCGAACCCAAAUAGAAACAAAUAAUUAUAGAACGAAUAACUAACACGAAAGCAAAGAAAAACCAAACAAAAAGCGAAAAAAAAACAAAAAAUAUUAAGCGUAUGGUGCGACAGAGGAGGUUGCUGAUUCAUGUCGAACCAUCGAAGUAUGUUGCUGAAAUCCCUUUGGACCCUAAAUCCAUCUAAUUAUAUAUCAUUACGAGUAUAGAGAGAUUAUGAAUUAAAUCGGCGAAUAUGUUGAAAUUAUCAUUCCGAAUAUAUAUAUACACAUAUAUUUAUUUGUAUAUAUAUAUACACCCUGUGUACAUAUGUACAUUGCGUAAAUAUGAGAAUACACUUGCAAACCAAUUGACUGCAGAUACAUUGAAAUUAUUGCUGAUUUACCACUGACCUUUUACCGAAAGCCACAAAUUGAAAAGGAUUUACGCUUCAGUCAGAGUUUGCUUUUGAAAAUUAAUUCAAGAUUCAAGACAAAACAUCUUUAACAGCUGUUACAUUUUGUUUCUUUCCUAUACAAAAAACUACAAACUACAACAUACCCACACUACAAUUGAGAAUUUCAAACUCUUUGAGAUAGUAACUGAUCUCUCUGAUUGAUGCUUCUGAAAUAACACGAAACAACAACCAACUAUUAUAACAACUCCAACAACAACUCUACAAAAUUCUUCACAACAACAACAACAACUACUACUACAACAACGGCUUGAUGAUCCCUCUCUCAGACAUAUACUCUCGGUGUUUUUAUAACUGAUAUAAUAUCAUCCAGAACCAGAACAAAAGCACAAGAAACGCCUACAGCCUACAGUACAAGAACAACAACAACAACAACAGCCACAUCUACAACAGAAGUAUCUAAAAAUAUGUAUUAUACGAGAUGAACAACUACAACAAUCCAAGUAAAAACAACAACAAAACGACAUGCAAGAAACAGCAUCCAUCGCAAAGUUCUCUACCAUAUUUCUGAAAGUUGUGAACCCAUUAACCCAUAAAUAUACUUACACCAACAUAUAGAGUCACAUGCAUUUAAAUAGCUAAAUAUAUAUGGUGUUGUAAAUGCUUUAAAAUAUAUGUGUACAGAACCAAAUAAAUACCAAAGAAUACAUCAGAAUUCAAUAAGUUGCAAGAUAUAUCAAAAUGCAGAAUAUUAUGUGUAACUUAGAUUCAAGCCAGCAUCAUAUCCAUUCAAAAUUGUUUAAAAUAAAACCAAACCAACUAGCAUCAAAACCGUCAGUUCAAGUUCAAGCUCUUCGCUGUCUCAUAAUCUUCUCAGACACUUUGCUGUCUCAAUUUUUAAACUCCUUCUUAUAUGCAUAUCGGCAAGACAGCAAUAAAGUUGUACGGCUCAACGCCUCUCUCUGUCAAUCUAAUAAAGCAAUCCUCUAGUGCCCCCUCGCUCCAUAGGAAGUUAGGAACGAUAACGAUUGAACUAAAUGAAUGAAAUGAAGAAUGCCUUAACGUGGCUCAGACCAUACGACGACGACUAGACGACUAGACCAGUCAGUCUCCGAUGCGUGAGCAAAUAUAUGAUGAUAUGAUGAUAGUAUAUGAUGGUGAUCCUACCACCACAGGGAAUGGAACUUACAAUCCCUAACUCUACUAGCUUUGUUUCUCUACUAUCGCACUCCUAUUCCAGAAUCGGAAUCCGUAUAUCUCCUAUAGCUAGAGCUAUGAUACUUUCAAAACUCAAAUCCCAAACUAUCAGAUCUUUACAGUAAUGGCUUUCUAAAUACUUAUAGAGAAUGUUUACCUAGAUUCUACUACUAUAUCUAUAUUGCGUUUUUCUCUCAGAUACUUAUAUGAUGUUAAAGGUGACUUUGAUUGUUUAUAAUAUAUUGAAUAAACAUUAACAAACAAAAACAAAAAACAAAAAAAAAAACAACAAGGAAACCAAACAAAAACCAACAACAACAAACUUGAAAUAUAUUCUUCAAUCAUAACCGAGUUUUUAACGUAAUCAUAAAUGUUCAAAAUGUUAAAUGGUUCAGCCGAUGUUAUUUUUAUUUGAAAUCUGUUAAUAUUGUGUUAUCGUUAAUAUUAUAGUUAUGAUAAUGUAAUUAUAUGUAUAUCAGAAAGUUCACAAGAAACCACAGAUAAUUACACAAUAUUAUCUAUAUGUAUAUGUAAAUGUGUAACUUAAUAGGGAAAUGAAUUUAAAGAGAAACAACAGACAAAAUUUAUAAAGAAUAAUGUUGAAAAGAAUACCAUUCAAGUCAUUAUUAGAUGUGAAAGACGUUCUAUACACACCAGAAGAAUAAACAAAAAAAAA